rnacentral:rRNA from 1 species
UACAGAGGUCUCAAGCGUUGUUCGGAUUCAUUGGGCGUAAAGGGUGCGUAGGCGGCGCGGUAAGUCGGGUGUGAAAUCUCGGAGCUUAACUCCGAAACUGCAUUCGAUACUGCCGUGCUUGAGGACUGGAGAGGAGACUGGAAUUUACGGUGUAGCGGUGAAAUGCGUAGAUAUCGUAAGGAAGACCAGUGGCGAAGGCGGGUCUCUGGACAGUUUCCUGACGCUGAGGCACGAAGGCCCAGGGAGCAAACGGG